GACGAACGCUGGCGGCGUGCUUAACACAUGCAAGUCGAACGGAAAGGCCCUGCGUUUGUGGGGUGCUCGAGUGGCGAACGGGGGAGUAACACGUGAGUAACCUGCCCUUGACUUUGUGAUAACUUCAGGAAACUGGGGCUAAUACCGGAUAGGAGCUCCUGCUGCAUGGGGGGGGUUGGAAAGUUUCGGCGGUUGGGGAUGGACUCGCGGCUUAUCAGCUUGUUGGUGGGGUAGUGGCUUACCAAGGCUUUGACGGGUAGCCGGCCUGAGAGGGUGACCGGCCACAUUGGGACUGAGAUACGGCCCAGACUCCUACGGGAGGCAGCAGUGGGGAAUAUUGCACAAUGGGCGGAAGCCUGAUGCAGCAACGCCGCGUGCGGGAUGACGGCCUUCGGGUUGUAAACCGCUUUCGCCUGUGACGAAGCGUGAGUGACGGUAAUGGGUAAAGAAGCACCGGCUAACUACGUG
rnacentral:rRNA from 1 species